AUGCUUGAAGAUGCGAGUGGUGCAGUAUUCUAGUCGGCUCUCCAUUCUCCAAAGCGGGCCUAAAAAUCCGCUAAAGGGCAUAUCGAUGAAGUUUCUAGUUUUGGCUUGAGGCGCCCAGCUUUGGGUCAUUACUGGGAGUAAAGGCUGUAGGGCGAUCCACAAUGGCAUGUGGGCGUUGACCCUCCAGCCGUGGAGGCCCUGAAUGGUUGGAAGUCUUCCCUGACGACCGGACAUUCGGGGUAUGAACCUGCUAUGCAGACUCGGGAGGUCUGUGAGCAGCGUAGCCUGCCUUGAGUGGACCGUGAGGGGAUUACAGAUGCUUUUGCAUCUGCAUGAAAUCACGUCUGCAAAAGAGGAUAGGGAAUGGCAAGAGCUGUCGGGGAAAACCCCUAGACUGUUCUUUAUUGACGCCCAUGGGGGAUUAUAGUGCGUUCUAAGUGGCAAUCCAGUCUGACGGUUGGCGACACCGUCAAUACAGGUUUAAAGGGAAACCUCCCGGGCGGCGACGCUUGGGAACCUGCAUGGGAAAACCUACUGGACCUAAGGCGCAGUCUUUAUCCUAUGGGUGACCACUCGUGAAUACAUACUG
rnacentral:sRNA from 1 species